UUAAAAAAGAUAAGCUAAAUUUAA
rnacentral:tRNA from 1 species